GGGCGCAUGGUUUAGUGGUAUAAUACCUCUUUAGCAUUCAUCUCAUCGAGAGAAUGGCUAAGCUAGAGGUGGUCCGGCGUUCGAUUCGCCGUGCGUCCA
rnacentral:tRNA from 1 species